UGGGGGAUAUUGCACAAUGGGCGAAAGCCUGAUGCAGCGACGCCGCGUGGGGGAUGAAGGCUUUCGGGUUGUAAACCUCUUUCGCUAUCGAACAAGGCCCGCUUAGGGUGGGUUGAGGGUAGGUGGAGAAGAAGCGCCGGCUAACUACGUGCCAGCAGCCGCGGUAAUACGUAGGGCGCGAGCGUUGUCCGGAAUUAUUGGGCGUAAAGGGCUUGUAGGCGGCUUGUUGCGCCUGCUGUGAAAACGCGGGGCUUAACUUGGCGCGUGCAUUGGGUACGGGCAGGCUUGAGUGUGGUAGGGGUAACUGGAAUCCCGGGUGUGGCGUUGAAUGCGCAGAUAUCUGGAGGAACACCGAUGGCGAAGGCAGGUCACUGGGCCAUUACUGACGCUGAGGAGCGAAAGCAUGGGUAGCGAACAGG
rnacentral:rRNA from 1 species